CAUCCAUAUGUUUCCCUAUAAAGCCAUACAUGCGCAUAGCAGGCCGAUAAACAGGAGAGCUCAUACAUUAAGAGGCGUGAAAUAAACACAAUGGAGAUAUUGGUGCUGUUGACGAUAUUCGGAUUUCUUGUUUCUGAAGCUCAGUCAACUAUCACUGGUGAUGCAACAUGUGACAACACCAUGUAUUUUUAUGCUGAUGGCGUUCGAUAUACAAAUGCAAACGAUAAUGAUUGGACUAAAUCAUCACCCGUCAGUAUUCCCGGUAAUACUCAAGUGGUUGCUGUUCAUUGCGUGGAUCAUGGUGUAGUUGGUGGCAUCAAGCUGGCAUUAAGUAAUGGCAUUAAAACAGAUACCACAUGGAAAUGUUCCAAGACAUACGCAGCAGGUUGGAAUAAACCUGGCUUCGAUGACUCUAAGUGGCCAAAUGCUAUAGUGCCAACGUUUAACUGGGGAUCGAGGCCUUCUUCUUUGAAUGGUAGAGCCGAUUGGAUUUGGACAACCGGAUAUCGUGGACAGGAUACAACCGUCUAUUGUAGAAAGGUUAUAAAAAAAACAAGAGGUUGUGAUUGUUGUGAAGCCCUUGAAGCUAUUACUGCAUUGUUGAAACAUUAACUAGAAGUGUUCGCGAGGACAUAAUUUAUUAUGCUAUCCACAGCCCCUCCCACCCGCCAUUAAUUAUGUAUAUCUUAUAUAUCUUUUAAAUUUGAUCUUCAACUCUGUCCAUGAAUUACUUUAUUAAGCAUAAACACUAAUUUGUUAUAUCUGUUGUAUGGAAGUUUUAGUAGGAUCACGUCCGAAUAAAAUUGAUCUUCAACUCUGUAAA